ACCACCACCUGUUAAAUAUCGCCACACCCUCUGGACACCAUGCUCUACCCACGGGACUGAACUUCCUCCUUGCACCUGUAUUUGGGUCUGUUCUUCCAGGGAUCAUCUCCAUUCUAGGAGGUGGUUUUCAUUCUAGUUCUGGAUCUCUCCCAUGCUAUUCCAUUGGCCUGUGGUUGUUAAUAGUUGGAGCCAGAUCUCUUGGGUUUUACUUCUUACUCUGCCACUCUCCUCUUAAGUUCUAUGACAUCUGGAAAAUGAUCUCCAAACUGAAAAGAGUAGAACAAACAUGGUUAAGAGGAAAAUAAUGCCCAAAUUAGCUGAAGAGAUGAAGAGAGAGCUCCUAGCUGUUUCAAAUAAAUUCAAGUCUCCAGACUCAAGAAAAUUAUUCCCUGGGAACCAGGAGAAUUUACAGGUGUGAUCUCAGAAACACUGUCGGCAGGGGCCACUGAGUAUUUAUGGAGAAGAGACAUAAGGGCAAAAGACUGAAAUAGGUAAAUGCCCUGAUUUUCUACAAGUGGAAAAUGGUAUACUACAAACACAAGAGAAUGCUGAGCCCAAUAAUCCCUGGAAAAAUGUCUGUGAAUUUCAUUAAAAAGCUCUUUUGAAAGUCCAUAGAGAAGAGUGUGGCAAACUUUGGGGAAGAGUAUGGGUUUGCUGAGAGCAGAGCACAUCAAGAUGCCUCUUGGAUUUUAUUAAGAACAAGAUAAGGGAAGGGAAUGGGAUUAAUAAUGACCUAAAGAAAAAAGGCAAAGUAAAAAGAAAAGGGCGGGGGUAGGGAGGGAGAGAAAAUGGAAGAUAAAAUGUGCACCAUCCCUGGUCAUUGUUGUGCAUUAAUAAAGUAGGGCAAAGUGCAUACUUUUCUCUGGAUAUUUUUUGGGGUAAUAAACAAUAAUCAACUGUACCAGAGCA